UUUGGGUUUUUUUUUUUUUUUUUUUUUAAUCAUUCAGUGUAAGUUGAGGACCGACUGCAGACUGGCUCCCUCUCCUCUCCUCAUACUCGACUCGACAGUUCUACUUUGUCCCGCUAAGAUCCACAGGGCACAAUCAUGGAGGAAAUGGACUUUGAGCGACGCCGGGAGCUGAGGAGGCAGAAGCGGGAGGAAAUGCGUCUGGAGGCCGAACGGUUGGCGAGGAAUGACGAUGAUGAGGAGGAGGCGGCCCGCGAGAGGAGGCGCAGGGCACGCCAGGAGAGGCUGAUGAGCAAGGAGACUGAGGAGCCCAGCGGACAGCCAGACAGUCUGGUCAUGACCAACAGCCACAGUGUCACAGAGACUGUGAGCAGCUCUUAUGGAGGAGGCGGCGGUGACGACGAUGACCAAGCCCUGCAGGAGCGCAUGGCCAAACGCGAGGAGAGACGGCAGAGACGCAUGAAGGAGGCGCUGGAGAGACAGAGGCAGCUGGACCCGACCGUGACCGAGGGCAACGACAGCGUCGCCACGGAGAAAAACAACGCAGAAGAGGAGAGGCCAUCCUCCUGGCGCAGGGGUCGUUACCGUGACAAUGAGGACGAAGAGGAGAAGACAGAGACGUACGGCUCAAGCAGAGGGGAGAAGGAGCGAGAGGAGCCGAGGGAGGAAGAAGAGGCUGCUCCUGAGGGGGGAGAGGAAGAAGAGGAGGGGGUAGAUGGAGAGGAGGAGCAGAAAGUGGAAGUGGUGGAGGACAAACCGAGAAGGUCUUACUUGAGAGAACAGGAAUCAACUGAAGAACCUAGCGAGGAACUCGCUGAAGAAGAAGAAACACAUUCAGUAGUCAGUGAGAGUUCAAACAAGGCCAAGUCAACAAACUCAGAGGAUGCUGAGGAGGAUGUAGUAGCACCUGAGGAGGUACCUGAGGAUGAUUAUGUAGAUUACGAGUCUAUGACACUCAGAAAUGACACUGAAGAGGACAAUGAGGUAGCUGAGAUACUGCACUCACAGGAUAAUGAGGUGGACGAGAGAGGCAGGGCCAGAGAGGAGAGGGAGGAGCAGGGGAAGCAGAACGGAGGGCUGUACGAAGAGGAGGCGGCUCCCAAACAGCACAGGAAACCUGAGAGGACCCUCAGUCGCGGCAGCGUACGUUCCCCCGAGGUGUCCGCGGGUGACGACCAGGACGACGCUGCCCGCCUGGAGGCAGAGCGCAAGCUGGAGGAGCUGAAGCGCCGCCGCGACGACGCGGAGAGCGAGGAGUUCGAGAGGAUGAGGCAGAAGCAGCAAGAGGCCGAAGCCGAGCUGGAGGAGCUGAAGAGAAAGAGGGAGGAGAGGAGGAAGGUGCUGGAGGAGGAGGAGAGGCAGAAGAAGCAGGAGGAGGCGGAGAGGAAAGCCAGAGAGGAGGAGGAGAAGAGGAAGAUGAAGGAGGAAAUUGAAAGGAGGAGAGCAGAGGCAGCUGAGAAGAGACAGAAGGUGGAAGACACUAUGGACGGGGAGGACAGACCCUUCAAGUGUGUCAGCCCUCGAGGCUCCUCUCUGAAGAUUGGAGAGAGGGCAGAGUUCCUGAACAAGUCGGCACAGAAAAGCAGCUCAGUGAAGAUGUCUCAUUCUCCUGUGGUGUCCAAGAUAGACAACAGGCUGGAGCAGUACACCUCGGCUGCUCAGCAGAGAGAGAACAAGGAGUCUCGAUCCCCUCGCUCCGGAGCGGUUGAUCUGCCCAUGGUCACCGACAGCAUACGAAGCAUCAAGAGCAUGUGGGAGAAAGGCAACGUGUUCAGCUCACCUGGAAGUGGUGGGAGCACGUUCAAGGAAGCAGCUGUGAUGAAGACAGGCGUGGCGGGCCGCAUCAACGACUGGCUGAAUAAAACCCCUGAGAGCGGCAAAACGUCAGGAGGAAGGCCAGCGGACCUGAAGCCUGUUGACGUCACCAACAAGAGGAGUCUAUGGGAAAACAAAGGCGCCUCUCCAACCAAGAACUCUCAUAGCUAGUUGACCUCACCGUUAAAUCUGGAAUAAGCCUGGAGAGGUGGCAGGCAGAGGGGAGACCAAAUCAGUCGCCAACGGUAUGGGACACUAGUGUCUUGAAGGAGCCACUUAAAACAGCUGGGGACCACGACAAUCCAAGACUCUUCCUUUGACUUUGUCUUAAGAACCAAAUAAUGAUCACAUUCCCGAGAGGGACCCCACGAAAAAAAACGGACGGACAGGAGAGACGCUGUCCAAAGCACUGUACCGAAAACAGCAUCAUAUUUUUGUACGGUUGCCACGUAUAGUGCCUUUGCACAAUGAUUUUUUUUUUUGCUUUCUAAAAGAAACAAAAUGCUGUGAAAUUUGGACAUUUGUAAUUGCUAUUACUAAUUACUUAAUCCUGCUAGGAAGACGGAAGAAAAACACAAAUUAAAUUUAUCUGUUGUCCUCCGUGUCGACAGUAUUGAUAGAGACAGAGCAGACGAGUUCAAAGUAUCCACAUUCCAAAGAGAUGGGUGAAAUCAGUUCUCUCUCCCUCGUUACAGUACAUUUUCCAUCUCUUCUUUUUUUAUUUAUAUUUAAAGCAAAAGCUUCACACAUUGCUAUUUUAUUCAACGUUCACCAGUUCAGGAUAGAAAUAUAAGCACUUCUAGAAUUUAGCUGAUUUCACUUUUAUUAUGUCUUUACCAAUAGUGCAGCAACGGUCUGAGUAAUAUAUGUUAGCACAUGUGAUGUUCGAAUAUCAUACUGUAUCUUAUAUAACAUCUUUAUACUCAUAACAAAAGGUAUUUUUUGCUUCUUUUUUUUUUUUUUUUUUUUUUUGUAUCCAGAAACUAUUCACCAACAGGCAGUUAAUUUGGGUGGUGAUAUGAGUGUUGAAUAUUCAGAAGGCCAUUAUGACUUUUAUUAUCCUUUUUAUGUCAUUUUAUUUAUGUUCUAAUGUGUUUUGUCCUUUUUCUAUUUCUAGCUGGGGGGAGGGGUUUGUAGCUUUUUGUACCUUUUUUUGAUCACUUUAAUAUCUUCAGACAUUCCUCUUCAAAAGCAGGUGCACGACAUGCCUUCGCUGCUUCAACGCUGUAGGUUUUAUAACGUAGGAAAUCGGCAAACCGACUCUCUUUUAACGUCUUUGUUUCCUCUAUGCACAUUCUUACGCUCAGAGAUAAUUUUCUAAUUGAGGGCAUGCAAAGUAAAAACCAGGGUGCCUAAGCAUAUAGCAAGAUACUCGUACAAUACAAGGAUAUUUACCACUAUGUAAUUCUUCUGGCCUUAUGAUUGCAAUGAAAACAUUUAUGACAGCUGAGGUACAGUACAUGAUAGCCUCAAAGCAACAGUAUGAUGAUAUUAAGACUUGUGAUGUUUCUUUUUCACUGAUGUAGUCUUAAGUAGCACAUUCCCUUUCAUAGUUUUUGCACGACGCAAGCUUUGAUUAUAUUGUGACGGUUUUCCGGGGCAUUAAAUUGAUCGUUACUGCUCAAAAGUCUGACAAUCACAUUCCAUCGCUCCUGAAAAGAGCAGGGGAGCUCGACCAAAAUACUUUUAAGCGUGAUUUAAUGUGACAUUUAUGUUUUUUGUUUUGUUUUUUUAAUACAGUGGAUUCAUAAUGUCUUUUUUUUUUUUUUUUUUUUUUUUUAAAAAAGUGGAUUUAAAAUUUUUUUUUUUUUUUUUUUUUUUUUUUUACAACCUUGUGUCCAAUUUAUGUUUUUUUUUAUUUCCAUGUUUAACCAGACACUUGUUGUUUGUGUAGCGCUACGCCUAUGCAAAACACACUCUCUGUAGUCUCUCUAAACACUCCCAAUGUCAUACAAGUGGGCAGUUUUCCAACUGGAUGAAUGUUUUAAACAUUGUACCCUUGAUUCAACAACAGCAAUAAAGACAUUGAGGUAUUCCA